AGUCACUGACAUUAGAUACCCGCGUAGUCCCAGCCGUAAACUAUGCGCGUUAGGUGUAUCGGUGACCACGAGUCACCGAGGUGCCGAAGGGAAACCGUGAAACGUGCCGCCUGGGAAGUACGGUCGCAAGGCUGAAACUUAAAGGAAUUGGCGGGGGAGCACAACAACGGGUGGAGCCUGCGGUUUAAUUGGACUCAACGCCGGACAACUCACCGGGGACGACAGCAAUAUGUAGGCCAGGCUGAAGACCUUGCCUGAAUCGCUG
rnacentral:rRNA from 1 species